GCCAUCAUUAACAAUAUAAAAAAUAACAAAAUCUGGAAAGGAUUUGGAGAAGAGGGAACCCUCCUACACUGUUGGUGGGAAUGUAAUUUGGAAAUUAUUAUGGAGAUUCCUCAGAAAACUAAAAAUACAAGUACAGUAUGAUCCAGCAAUCCCACCCCUGGGCAUAUAUCCAAGCAAAACUAUAACUCAAAAAAAGACACAUGCACCCCUAUGUUCAUAGCAGCACUAUUCACAGUAGCCAAGACAUGGAAACAGCCUAAAUGUCCAUCAACAGAUAAAUGAAUUAAGAUGUGGUACAUAUAUGCAAUGGAAUACUACUCAGCCGUAAAAAGAAUGAAUUAAUGUCAUUUGCAGCAACAUGGAUGCAACUAGAGAUUCUCAUACUAAGAAGGGCAUACUAUAUGAUAUCAGUUAUAUGUGGAAUCUAAAAUAUGGCACAAAUGAACCUAUCUACAAAACAGAAACAGACUCACAUAGAGAACAGACUGGUGGUUGCCAAGGGGGAAGAGGGAGGGAGUGGAAUGGACUGGAAGUUUGCAGUUAGUAAAUGCAAACUAUUAUAUUUAGAAUGGAUAAGUAAUGAGAUCAUGCUAUAUAGCACAGGGAGCUGUAUCUAAUCUCUUGGGAUAGACCAUGAUGGAAGAUAAUAUAAGAAAAAGAAUGCAUAUAUGUAUAUAACUGAGUCACUUUACCAUACAGCAGAAUUUGACACAACAUUGUGAAUCAGAUAUACUUAAAAAUUAUAUAUAUAUAUAUACAUAUAUAUAUAUAUAUAUAUAGCUUUUUUUCAGGGCUGCACCUGUGGCAAAUGGAGGUUCCCAGGCUAAGGGUCAAAUCAGAGCUACAGCUGCCGGCCUAUGCCACAGCCACAGCAAUGUGGGAUUUGAGCCGUGUCUGCCACCUACAACAGAGCUCAUGGCAACACCAGAUCCUUAACCCACUGAGCAAGACCAUGGAUCAAACCUCAUGGAUACUGAUUAGAUUUGUUACCAGUGAGCCAUGAUGGGAACUCCAAAAAAAUAAUUUUUAAAAAAUUAUAGGAGCAGCAUCCAGAAUUACAUUCCCUAAAGCUGAGUAUAAGCACUGUUGCCAGUUUCUGUCCCAGGCAUCUAGCUCACAGAGCUCACUCAAAACCUGGCGGUGUGAAGACCCUUCCCUUUAGACCAUAACUAGAAUCCAUGACUUAGAAUGGUCCUUGCCUUAGAUCAAUCACUUGGACACUAAGCCACACUUUUGCAUCUCUUAGUGAUUGUUUAUCUGCCCUUUAUUUUCUGUAUCAUGCCAUCAGAUGUAAUCCUCAGAAGUAAUGCACACUUGCCUCUAACAACCAUUAGCAAUCCAUUACAUGUGGGUCUGAAUUUGUAGAUUCAGUUCAAAUAUCAAAUCUCUAACAGAAGGUAAUAAUAAUAAAGAUUUAAAAAAACUUUGAGAGCUUGGAAAAACAUUUUCAAUAUUAAUAACAAAUAUAAUCAGAACAAAACGAAAGCUAUUGUGAAAGUUCUAUCAGAAAGUAAAUUUUGUAAUUCAGUGACAACAUGGAAGAGGAAUUCGUUUCAUGUGUGUUAUAGAGGAUAUUUUAUUUUGCAGACAGAACCACUGAUGUGCAGUGUUGGAAUCAUUUUUUUUUUUUGGUAUAUUCAUGUUACAUGUAUUAAGGGAGAAGUCCUUAACAACUUGUUCUAUUCAUCCCUGAAAACCAUGAAUGGAGAAAACAAGGUUACACUGAGAAGUAAGUUUUGGUGAGGACUAGAAAGGAUGUGUCAUGAUCUUUAACGAUGGAACACCAGCCAUUUGGGGAGCAACGAAUAUGAUGUUUAGGUAAAUAAAAGUGUUAUGCUCAUUCCCUUCUUAAAAGAGAACUGUUACUAUCAACAGUAAACUGUCAAGAUGUUGAUUCAGUGCCUAAGGGGAAAGAAAAUAACGAAUUUUAUUCCUAUGUCUACACCAUGUUUAGAAUGCUGUAUGAAAAACUGGGCAGGAGGUUGAACAAAACUUUUUCCUCAAUACUGUGUUUUCAGAGGAAAGGUGUCUAUUCCACGUGAGUUUUGUUUCAUUUUGUUAAGGGCUGCAUCUGCAGCAUAUGGAAGUUCCUAGUCUAGGGGUCGAAUCAGAGCUGCAGCUGCCAGCCCACCCCACAAGCCACAGCAAUGCCAGAUCUGAGCUGCAUCUGCAACCUACACCACAGCUCACAGCAAUGCCGAUCCUUAAGCCAGUGAGCGAGACCUGGGAUAGAACCCACAUCCUCAUGGUUAUUAGUUAGGUUCCUUACCACUGAGCCACAACAGGAAUUCUCAUGUGAGUUUUGAGAUAAGUACAGAGAUUAAAAGUAUUUCUUUGAGACACUGUAAAGGGCUUUUCUCCUUGGUUUUAGGUGCCUUGGUCAUUUGGCACAUCAACCAGUUGACCUACUGACUUAAAGAGACAUCCCUCCAAGGAGGUGAAUUGUAAUGGCAAAGAGAUCAGAUAUUUUAAGAUUACACAACUCUUUUGCAAAUGAUUUAGCAGUGCAGAGCUUUAUCCCCAUUCAAUUUCCAUCUCAUUUUCUUGGCCUAAUGCAAGCAUACGACUGAAAAAGUUUUUGUACAGAGCAAAAGGUUUUGUAUAUCACAUGCCUAUUAUAAUACCACAGCAAUGACAAGCUUCCUCUUUCUGUAUGAACAUGGUAAUACAUAACAAUUGUGGGGAAAAAUAAAACUGCUUACAUAUCAUUCUUACAGAAGUUCAACAAACUGUACACUAAAAACUUAUGCUGACUUUUUUUUUCUUUCAGAGUUUGGAACAGAGAAAGGUUAUUGCAAAGCCAUGCAAGGAGAAUGGUGGCUCAUGCCCCUAAAACCCUGAACUGAAUUCAUGUUGACUUUAUUAUAUACAGAAAAAAAAAGCAAUCAUUUUUCUUACAAACAAUUUAACUGGGAUUAUAACCUAUUACCUGCAUUUUUAAGCAACCAUUCAAUACUCUUAUUUGCUGUCCUUUUAUAACUCCUAUAUUCUGGCAGUUUGCCAGAGAGCAUUUCAUUAUCUCUUUUUAUUUUCUACUCAAGGCAACUUUGAAACAAUUUUCAGUACUGGAGUGAAAAAACUUAAAAACAAAAACAAAAACAAAACCCAGGGAGUUCCCACUGUGGCUCAGCUGGUUAAGAACCCAAGUGUCCUUGAGGAUGUGGGUUCAAUCCCUGGCCUCACUAGGUAGGUUAAGGAUCCAGCAUUUUUCCAAGCUGCAGCAUGGGUCUCAGAUGCAGCUCAGAUCUGGUGUUGCUGUGGCUACGGUGUAGGCUGACAGCUGCAACUCCAAUUUGACCCCUACUCCUCCAGGACUUCCAUGUGCUAAAGAUGCUCCCUUAAAUAAAAACAAAAAAACAACUAUUUUCAGGGGUCAGAUCACUAAGGCAGAGUAGGAGAACAUGGAACUCCCAUCCACCCCCCACCAAACACAUCAAAAAUACAUCUAGGAGUUCCCGUCGUGGCGCAGUGGUUAACGAAUCCGACUAGGAACCGUGAGGUUGUGGGUUCCAUCCCUGGCCUUGCUCAGUGGGUUAACGAUCUGGCGUUGCCGUGAGCUGUGGUGUAGGUUGCAGACGCGGCUCGGAUCCCGCGUUGCUGUGGCUCUGGCGUAGGCGGGUGGCUACAGCUCCGAUUAGACCCCUAGCCUGGCAACCUCCAUAUGCCGCGGGAGCGGCCCAAGAAAUAGCAACAACAACAACAA
rnacentral:lncRNA from 1 species